rnacentral:piRNA from 1 species
AACAACUGGUUAGAGCAAAGAAUA